AAAUGCGAUAAGUAAUGUGAAUUGCAGAAUUCAGUGAAUCAUCGAACCUUUGAACGCACAUUGCGCCCGCCAGUAUUCUGGCGGGCAUGCCUGUUCGAGCGUCAUUACAACCCUCAGGCCCCCGGGCCUGGCGUUGGGGAUCGGCGGAAGCCCCCUGCGGGCACAACGCCGUCCCCCAAAUACAGUGGCGGUCCCGCCGCAGCUUCCAUUGCGUAGUAGCUAACACCUCGCAACUGGAGAGCGGCGCGGCCACGCCGUAAAACACCCAACUUCUGAAUGUUGACCUCGAAUCAGGUAGGAAUACCCGCUGAACUUAAGC
rnacentral:misc_RNA from 1 species